UUGGACAAUGGGGGCAACCCUGAUCCAGCCAUGCCGCGUGAGUGAAGAAGGCCCUAGGGUUGUAAAGCUCUUUCAGAUGUGAGGAUGAUGACAGUAACAUCAGAAGAAGCCCCGGCUAACUUCGUGCCAGCAGCCGCGGUAAUACGAAGGGGGCUAGCGUUGUUCGGAUUUACUGGGCGUAAAGGGCGUGUAGGCGGACGAUCAAGCUAGAGGUGAAAGCCCAGGGCCCAACCCUGGAACUGCCUUUAGAACUGAUUGUCUAGAAUCCGUAAGGGGAGUGUGGAAUUCCUAGUGUAGAGGUGAAAUACGUAGAUAUUAGGAAGAACACCAGUGGCGAAGGCGGCACUCUGGUACGGUAUUGACGCUGAGGCGCGAAAGCGUGGGGAGCAAACAGGAUUAGAUACCCUGGUAGUCCACGCCGUAAACGAUGUCUGCUAGCCGUUUGGGCACUUAGUGUCUGGGUGGCGCCGCUAACGCAUUAAGCAGACCGCCUGGNAGNC
rnacentral:rRNA from 1 species